rnacentral:lncRNA from 1 species
GUUUUUUUUCGUACUAUAUGCAAUAGGUCUACUAUAUUUGUUAUAUGGAAUGAUUGUAAGGUGUACAUGUCUAGCGGGCAGAUGUCAUGUGACCUUGACCUCAUUUUCAUGGUUCAGUGGUUAUAGUUAAAUUUUUGUGUUUUGGUCUGUUUAUUUUCAUACUAUAUGCAAUAGGUCUACUAUAUUUGUUGUAUGGAAUGAUUGUAAGGUGUACAUGUCUAGCGGGCAGA